rnacentral:rRNA from 1 species
GAGUUUGAUCGUGGCUCAGGGUAAACGCUGGCGGCGUGCCUAAAACAUGCAAGUCGAACGGGCAGUCUUCGGAUUGUCAGUGGCAGACGGCUGAGUAACGCGUGGGUGACGUACCUAUCGGUGGGGAAUAACUGCCCGAAAGGGUGGCUAAUACCGCAUACGUCCACUGCUGCAUUGCAGUGGGGAAAACCUUGUAAAAGGUGCCGAUGGAGCGGCCCGCGUCCGAUUAGCUAGUUGGUGGGGUAACGGCCUACCAAGGCGACGAUCGGUAGCUGGUCUCAGAGGAUGAUCAGCCAGACUGGGACUGAGACACGGCCCAGACUCCUACGGGAGGCAGCAGUUAGGAAUUUUGGGCAAUGGGCGCAAGCCUGACCCAGCAACGCCGCGUGGGUGACGAAGGCCUUCGGGUUGU